rnacentral:rRNA from 1 species
AAUCAGGGGGAUAGCCUCUCGAAAGAGAGAUUAAGACCGCAUAACAUUGCACUAUGGCAUCAUAGAACAAUCAAAUAUUUAUAGGAUUAAGAUGGGCAUGCGGAACAUUAGCUAGUUGGUAAGGUAAUGGCUUACCAAGGCUACGAUGUUUAGGGGAUUUGAGAGGAUGACCCCCCACACUGGUACUGAGACACGGACCAGACUCCUA